rnacentral:rRNA from 1 species
UGCGUAGACGGCUUAGCAAGUCAGGGGUGAAAGGCAUUGGCUCAACCAAUGUAGGCCUUUGAAACUGUUAGGCUUGAGUGCAGGAGAGGAAAGUGGAAUUCCUAGUGUAGCGGUGAAAUGCGUAGAUAUUAGGAGGAACACCAGUGGCGAAGGCGACUUUCUGGACUGUAACUGACGUUGAGGCACGAAAGCGUGGGGAGCGAACA